UAGGUGUGCAAGAGAACUUGUGACCACAGACUUUUACAUAAACAAUUGGAUUUAAUCCACAGCACUCAAUGGUGCAAGUGGGAAACUAAUAUUCCCUAAUUUUAAAUGAAAUACAGUUUGGAAUUUCAAUCGAUACCUCUGGAUCCCUCAAUAAGAACUCAUUAACUGCAUCUAUACUUUUACCGUGGCCUGGCACUCCCAGUGCAUAUAAUACUUAGCUGGUUGCCUGCGCUGGUAUCGGCAUGUGCAGCAACAGAUGGCGACACUCCAGAGAAAUAAUGACAAGAAAGAGCAUAUAGAAGCAACGUUUCAAUGCCUAUAUUAGCAGCAUUUUCAUCAGGACGGGAUGCAGUGUGAGAGGGAUGCUGUCAUGCGACCGCCGCUCGGGAUCCUAGCGGUCACCAUGCCGACGCCGGAGUCCAGAGCACUCAAAAUGCUGUAAGUCUGAAUGCUGACCCAUAGGCUCUAUUCCCACUCGUAGGUGUCCACAGCAAGUCCACAAGAGGCUUUGUGGUGUGCAGGAGAAGAGGCUCGGUGGCAGAAGAAGACCUGGCAGCAGAGGCUAAAGAACCGGCAUUUGGAAUGAGGGCAUGUGAAGAUGUGAAGGCAAUAGGCCUGAGCUGUAUUUAGGAGUGCUGGCCCCAUUUUCGAGUGGUCUUGGCACUAGGCCAAGAUCACUUUAUCUGGAGAAGGCAGGCAAUAGGCCUGAGACGUGAUAUUGUUGGUGCUUUAGGUUAGGGACCCAGAGAACAAAUUACCACUCAUAUAGUGAACUGAGCUCUAGGCCAAGGUCACUGAUUAACACCGCUUGGCAGGUCAGCAAGGGCCUGACCUGCACAUCACCAGGUGAUCUGAGUAUUAGACUCCAAGUCCAGGGGGGAAGGAGUCUGAUACAGAAACUGCCAGGCAUGCCAAUAAGGCCUGGUCCUCUGCAUAAGGGAGUGGGAUCUGGGCUACAAGGCCAGACUUACAGUUAGUGUGGAAGGCAGAGAUGGCUAUGCAGCUUCCCCCUCUUUCAAAGUCAAGUGUUGGGCUUCCAAAGUAUGGGGAAUCAUCUGGGCCCUCAUGUCACCAGCUUGAGGACACAAGCCAGUGAUUGCGUGAAGCGUGGAGGAGCUGUCCAGUUCCACAUGUUCGCGUAAUCUCGGGAGUGAACGGCUGUUCACUCUAGGUAUCCUGGUUCACUAGCACCCAGACAUUUGAACUACAGGCUGACUUCCCUGUCCUUAGGGGAAGGAAACUUAUGGUGUAUUCACACUAUAUACUGUCGUGCUUGAAUUCUCUGUAUGUUUUACAGGUUGAGUAUCCCAUAUCCAAAUAUUCCGAAAUACGGAAUAUUCCGAAAUACGGACUUUUUUGAAUGAGAGUGAGAUAGUGAAACCUUUGUUUUUUUGAUGGC